rnacentral:misc_RNA from 1 species
GAAAUGCGAUAAGUAGUGUGAAAUGCAGAAUUCAGUGAAUCAUCGAAUCUUUGAACGCACAUUGCGCCCCUUGGUAUUCCAUGGGGCAUGCCUGUUCGAGCGUCAUUUGUACCCUCAAGCUCUGCUUGGUGUUGGGUGUUUGUCCCGUCUCCGCGCGUGGACUCGCCCCAAAGUGAUUGGCAGCCGGCGUACUGGUCCCGGAGCGCAGCACAUGUCGCGCAAACGAGUGCCUUGGUACGGCGGCGUCCAUAAGCCCCUCUCUCACGCUCUUGACCUCGGAUCAGGUAGGGAUACCCGCUGAACUUAAGC